rnacentral:rRNA from 1 species
UGGGGAAUAUUGGACAAUGGGCGCAAGCCUGAUCCAGCCAUGCCGCGUGAGUGAUGAAGGCCCUAGGGUUGUAAAGCUCUUUCACCGGUGAAGAUAAUGACGGUAACCGGAGAAGAAGCCCCGGCUAACUUCGUGCCAGCAGCCGCGGUAAUACGAAGGGGGCUAGCGUUGUUCGGAUUUACUGGGCGUAAAGCGCACGUAGGCGGACUAUUAAGUCAGGGGUGAAAUCCCGGGGCUCAACCCCGGAACUGCCUUUGAUACUGGUAGUCUUGAGUACGAGAGAGGUGAGUGGAAUUCCGAGUGUAGAGGUGAAAUUCGUAGAUAUUCGGAGGAACACCAGUGGCGAAGGCGGCUCACUGGCUCGAUACUGACGCUGAGGUGCGAAAGCGUGGGGAGCAAACAGG